rnacentral:rRNA from 1 species
CUUGGUCAUUUAGAGGAAGUAAAAGUCGUAACAAGGUUUCCGUAGGUGAACCUGCGGAAGGAUCAUUAACGAGUUUUGAAACGGGUUGUAGCUGGCCUUCCGAGGCAUGUGCACGCCCUGCUCAUCCACUCUACCCCUGUGCACUUACUGUAGGUUGGCGUGGGCUCCUUUGCGGGAGCAUUCUGCCGGCCUAUGUAUACUACAAACACUUUAAAGUAUCAGAAUGUAAACGCGUCUAACGCAUCUAUAAUACAACUUUUAGCAACGGAUCUCUUGGCUCUCGCAUCGAUGAAGAACGCAGCGAAAUGCGAUAAGUAAUGUGAAUUGCAGAAUUCAGUGAAUCAUCGAAUCUUUGAACGCACCUUGCGCUCCUUGGUAUUCCGAGGAGCAUGCCUGUUUGAGUGUCAUGGAAUUCUCAACUUAUAAAUCCUUGUGAUCUAUAAGCUUGGACUUGGAGGCUUGCUGGCCCUUGUUGGUCGGCUCCUCUUGAAUGCAUUAGCUCGAUUCCGUACGGAUCGGCUCUCAGUGUGAUAAUUGUCUACGCUGUGACCGUGAAGUGUUUUGGCGAGCUUCUAACCGUCCAUUAGGACAACUUUUUAACAUCUGACCUCAAAUCAGGUAGGACUACCCGCUGAACUUAAGCAUAUCAAUAAGCGGAGGAAAAGAAACUAACAAGGAUUCCCCUAGUAACUGCGAGUGAAGCGGGAAAAGCUCAAAUUUAAAAUCUGGCGGCUCUUGGCCGUCCGAGUUGUAGUCUGGGAGAAGCGUCUUUCCGCGCUGGACCGUGUACAAGUCUCCUAAUAUAG